rnacentral:rRNA from 1 species
GAUGAACGCUGACGGCAUGCUUAACACAUGCAAGUCGAUCGGGAAGUGGAGCUUGCUCCCUGGCAACUAUGGCGGACGGGUGAGUAACGCGUAAGGGACUUACCUGCAGGACUGGGAUAACUGGGGAAAACUCCUGACAAGACCGGAUAAUUUAAUGUAGCUGCAUGGCUUUUUGAUGAAAGGAGACGCCUGCGCGGAGCCUUGCGGCCGAUUAGGUAGUUGGUGAGGUAGUGGCUCACGAAGGCGAUGAUAAGGAGUCGGCCAGAGAGGGUGAGCGGCCAGGCUGGAACUGAGACACGGCCACGAGGGCUACGGGAGGCAGCAGUGGGGAAUAUGGGACGAUGCGGGGAAGCAUGAUGGAGCAAGGGCGCGAGCCUGAUGAAGGAAUUCGGUGUGUAAAAAGAAGUUGUUCGGAAUGAAAAGUGCUUUCAGAAGAGAAGAAGUAAGUGACGGUACCUGAAGAAUAAGCGACGGCUAACUACGUG